rnacentral:lncRNA from 1 species
CGGGGGCAGUGUGGGGGCUGGGAUGGUGUCGGGGCCGGGCCCAGGGCUGGCCUCACUGACGGUUCCUAGGAGGGCCACUCUGCACGUGCCCCUCGGAUGGCCCCAUGACUCACUUCCGGGAGGCAGUGGCCCCAUUUGAUGGGAUUGGCUUUGAAACGUCACGAUUGUCACUGUGAAGUAGUAACCAUGUUCCUUGGGGUUCCUGAAUCUUCUCCUGGCCUUACUGAGCGCUGAUGUGGCCUUUGGGCCUCUGUGGAGGCACCGUCCCCGCCUCCCGGAACACCAUCUCCUCCAGGGACACCCACACACCGUCCGGGCUCUGCCGUUAGCACCAGUUCAGUUUCCCUCCCUUCACCUCUGUCAUGGGCCAAAUUGUGCCCCCGAAAUUCCCAUGUUAAAGUCCCCAGGACCUGGGCAUGUGAGCGUGAAAAAGGGGAGUAUGGCACAGUCAGGUCACCGGGGUGGACCCUGAUCCAAUAGGACCCGUGUCCCUGUGAGAGGAGGCGACUCGGGCACAUUCACGCAGGGACGGCCACGUGAGGACACGGGAAGGCACCGUCUGCAAGUCCAGGACCGGGGUCCCGCAGGAGCCCACCACACUGACACCGUGAUCCAGACCGCACUGACACCCACCGCACUGACACCGUGAUCCAGA